rnacentral:rRNA from 1 species
CAGCCGCCGCGGUAACACGGAGGGGGCAAGCGUUAUCAGGAAUUAUUGGGCGUAAAGGGUACGUAGGUGGCCUUUUAAGCGUAGGGUAUAAGGCAAUGGCUCAACCAUUGUUCGCCCUAUGAACUGGAAGGCUUGAGUGCAGGAGAGGAAAGCGGAAUUCCUAGUGUAGCGGUGGAAUGCAUAGAUAUUAGGAGGAACAUCAGUGGCGAAGGCGGCUUACUGGCUCAUUCUAGACGCUGAGGUGCGAAAGCGUGGGGAGCAAACAGGAUUAGAUACCCGCGUAGUCCCUGUCUCUUAUACA